rnacentral:rRNA from 1 species
UACAGAGACCCCGAGCAUUAUCCGGAAUUACUGGGCGUAAAGAGCGGGUAGCCGGUCGCAUUAGUCUGAUGUAAAACCAUGGGGCCCAACUCCAUGUCUGCGUCGGAAACGGUGCGGCUAGAGCGGAUGAGAGGAGAGCGGAACGUAUGGUGUAGGGGUGAAAUCCACUGAUAUCAUACGGAACACCAAAAGCGAAGGCAGCUCUCUAGCGUCUUGC